CGCUGUCACAUGAUAAACUCACAGGUGCUGCUAAUGGGUAUCGUUGCUUCCCGGCCCCAGCAAGCUUUGAAGAAGGAAAUAUGGAGGACCACACAUAUUCAAAAUCCAAAUUUCAGGAAAAGGAGUCUUCUUCUUUGCCUAGAAAAAAGAUUUUGAAAAGAGCAAGAUAUCCACUUCAUCAGAAAAAAAGAGUGAACAAUGGAGCUGCCUUCCAAAGAUGGAAAGACCAGAUGAAGGGAAAGGG